rnacentral:rRNA from 1 species
UGACCUCGGAUCAGGGUAGG